GGCUGAAAUUCGCCUUCAUGAAGUCGGAAUUGCUAGUAAUGGCAGGUCAGCAUACUGCCGUGAAUACGUUCCCGGGCCUUGUACACACCGCCCGUCACACCAUGAGAGUUGGAGAUACCCGAAGCCUGUGAGCUAACUUUUAGAGGCAGCAGUCGAAGGUAGAAUCAAUGAUUGGGGUGAAGUCGUAACAAGGUACC
rnacentral:rRNA from 1 species